UACGUAGGGUGCGAGCGUUGUCCGGAAUUAUUGGGCGUAAAGAGCUCGUAGGCGGUCUGUCGCGUCGAUCGUGAAAACUUGGGGCUUAACCCUGAGCUUGCGGUCGAUACGGGCAUGACUGGAGUUCGGCAGGGGAGACUGGAAUUCCUGGUGUAGCGGUGAAAUGCGCAGAUAUCAGGAGGAACACCAAUUGCGAAGGCAGCUCGCUGGGACGUUACUGACGCUGAGACGCGAAAGCGUGGGGAGCAAACAGG
rnacentral:rRNA from 1 species